rnacentral:rRNA from 1 species
UACGAAGGGGACUAGCGUUGUUCGGAAUCACUGGGCGUAAAGCGCACGUAGGCGGAUUCGUAAGUCAGGGGUGAAAUCCCGGGGCUCAACCUUGGAACUGCCUUUGAUACUGGUAUCUCGAGUCCGGAAGAGGUGAGUGGAAUUCCGAGUGUAGAGGUGAAAAUUCGUAGAUAUUCGGAAGAACACCAGUGGCGAAGGGCGGCCCACUGGACUGGUAUUGAACGCU